AAGGAAGUGGCAGAGUGGUUAUGCGAUUGGCUUGAAACCAGUAUAUGGGGGUUCAAUUCCUCCUUUCCUCG
rnacentral:tRNA from 1 species